rnacentral:rRNA from 1 species
AGUGAACGCUGGCGGUAGGCCUAACACAUGCAAGUCGAACGGCAGCACAGUAAGAGCUUGCUCUUACGGGUGGCGAGUGGCGGACGGGUGAGGAAUACAUCGGAAUCUACUUUUUCGUGGGGGAUAACGUAGGGAAACUUACUCUAAUACCGCAUACGACCUACGGGUGAAAGCAGGGGAUCUUCGGACCUUUCGCGAUUGAAUGAGCCGAUGUCGGGUUAGCUAGUUGGCGGGGUAAAGGCCCACCAAGGCGACGAUCCGUAGCUGGUCUGAGAGGAUGAUCAGCCACACUGGAACUGAGACACGGUCCAGACUCCUACGGGAGGCAGCAGUGGGGAAUAUUGGACAAUGGGCGCAAGCCUGAUCCAGCCAUACCGCGUGGGUGAAGAAGGCCUUCGGGUUGUAAAGCACUUUUGUUGGGAAAGAAAAGCAGCAGGUUAAUACCCCGCUGUUCUGACGGUACCCAAAGAAUAAGCACCGGCUAACUUCGUG